rnacentral:rRNA from 1 species
UAGGGAAUCUUCCGCAAUGGGCGAAAGCCUGACGGAGCAACGCCGCGUGAGUGAAGAAGGAUUUCGGUUCGUAAAGCUCUGUUGUUAGGGAAGAAUGAUUGUGUAGUAACUAUACACAGUAGAGACGGUACCUAACCAGAAAGCCACGGCUAACUACGUGCCAGCAGCCGCGGUAAUACGUAGGUGGCAAGCGUUGUCCGGAAUUAUUGGGCGUAAAGCGCGCGCAGGUGGUUUAAUAAGUCUGAUGUGAAAGCCCACGGCUCAACCGUGGAGGGUCAUUGGAAACUGUUAAACUUGAGUGCAGGAGAGAAAAGUGGAAUUCCUAGUGUAGCGGUGAAAUGCGUAGAGAUUAGGAGGAACACCAGUGGCGAAGGCGGCCUUUUGGCCUGUAACUGACACUGAGGCGCGAAAGCGUGGGGAGCAAACAGGAUUAGAUACCCUGGUAGUCCACGCCGUAACGAUGAGUGCUAAGUGUUGGUCUCAUAAGAGAUCAGUGCUGCAGCUAACGCAUUAAGCACUCCGCCUGGGGAGUACGACCGCAAGGUUG